rnacentral:rRNA from 1 species
AGUUUUCUGUCGUAGACCCGAAACCGGGCGACCUACCCAUGAGCAGGAUGAAGCGAAAGUAAAAUUUCGUGGAGGUCCGAACCCACGAGCGUUGAAAAGCUCGGGGAUGACUUGUGGGUAGCGGUGAAAUUCCAAUCGAGCCCGGAGAUAGCUGGUUCUCCCCGAAAUAGCUUUAGGGCUAGCCUCAAGGUUGAGAAAUACGGAGGUAGAGCACUGAAUAUCCUAGGGGGCAUUGCGCUUACCGAAGAUUAUCAAACUCCGAAUGCCGUUAUUUUAUACUUGGGAGUCAGACUGUGGGUAAUAAGAUUCAUAGUCGAGAGGGCAACAGCCCAGAUCGUCAGCUAAGGUCCCUAAAUGUAAGUUAAGUGGUAAAGGAUGUGGGAUUGCAUAGACAACCAGGAUGUUGGCUUAGAAGCAGCCACUCAUUUAAAGAGUGCGUAAUAGCUCACUGGUCGAGUGAUCCUGCGCCGAAGAUUACCGGGGCUAAAACUUACUACCGAAGCUACGAUAUCAUUUAUGAUAGGUAGGGGAGCUUCCUAUGCAGGCUGAAGCAUGACCGUAAGGACAUGUGGACAGUAUAGGAGUGAGAAUGUUGGCAUGAGUAGCGAGACGUGGGUGAGAAUCCCACGGGCCGUAAACCCAAGGUUUCCAGGGGAAGGUUCGUCCGCCCUGGGUNUGGUGCAUGGUUGUCGUCAGCUCGUGUCGUGAGAUGUUGGGUUAAGUCCCGCAACGAGCGCAACCCUUGCCUUUAGUUGCCAGCAUUAAGUUGGGCACUCUAGAGGGACUGCCGAGGAUAACUCGGAGGAAGGUGGGGAUGACGUCAAAUCAUCAUGCCCCUUAUGCUUAGGGCUACACACGUGCUACAAUGGGUGGUACAGAGGGUUGCCAAGCCGUGAGGUGGAGCUAAUCCCUUAAAGCCAUUCUCAGUUCGGAUUGUAGGCUGAAACUCGCCUACAUGAAGCUGGAGUUACUAGUAAUCGCAGAUCAGAAUGCUGCGGUGAAUGCGUUCCCGGGUCUUGUACACACCGCCCGUCACACCAUGGGAGUUGGGGGCGCCCGAAGCCGGUUAGCUAACCUUUUAGGAAGCGGCCGUCGAAGGUGAAACCAAUGACUGGGGUGAAGUCGUAACAAGGUAGCCGUAUCGGAAGGUGCGGCUG